UACAGAGGUCCCAAGCGUUGUUCGGAUUCAUUGGGCGUAAAGGGUGCGUAGGCGGCGCGGUAAGUCGGGUGUGAAAUCUCGGAGCUUAACUCCGAAACUGCAUUCGAUACUGGCGUGCUUGAGGACUGGAGAGGAGACUGGAAUUCAUGGUGUAGCAGUGAAAUGCGUAGAUAUCAGGAGGAAUACCGAUGGCGAAGGCAGGUCUCUGGGCUGACACUGACGCUCAUGCACGAAAGCGUGGGGAGCAAACAGG
rnacentral:rRNA from 1 species